rnacentral:tRNA from 1 species
GCCUUCUUGGUGCAGGCUGUAGUGUGCCAGUCUCAUAAUCUGAAGCUCCUGAGUUCAAACCUCAGAGGAGGCA